UGCCAGCAGCCGCGGUAAUACAGAGGGUGCAAACGUUGUUCGGAAUCACUGGGCAUAAAGCGCGCGUAGGCGGCCAUGUAAGUGUGAAGUGAAAGCCCACGGCUCAACCGUGGAAUUGCUUUGCAUACUGCAUGGCUCGAGGAUGGUAGGGGAGAGCGGAACUCCUGGUGGAGCGGUGAAAUGCGUAGAUAUCAGGAGGAACACCGGUGGCGAAGGCGGCUCUCUGGCUCGUUUCUGACGCUGAGGCGCGAAAGCGUGGGUAGCAAACAGGAUUAGAUA
rnacentral:rRNA from 1 species